UUUCCUACGGGACGCAGCAGUAGGGAAUCUUCCACAAUGGACGAAAGUCUGAUGGAGCAACGCCGCGUGGGUGAAGAAGGGUUUCGGCUCGUAAAGCUCUGUUGGUAGGGAAGAAAGAUAGAGGUAGUAACUGGCCUUUAUUUGACGGUAAUUACUUAGAAAGUCACGGCUAACUACGUGCCAGCAGCCGCGGGAAUACGUAGGUGGCAAGCGUUGUCCGGAUUUAUUGGGCGUAAAGCGGGUGCAGGC
rnacentral:rRNA from 1 species